rnacentral:lncRNA from 1 species
GGCAUGGAAAAGGCUUAGCUGCUAAAUAAAAACAAUAACAAUUAUGUUUAUUACAUGGCCACAGUCAGCCUGGAGAGACGUUCAUGAGAGACCUCUUUUAUUACAUUAAUUAAGAUAUGAUAAUCUGGAGAUAAAGUAAUACAGCCACUAGUGAAGAGGCCAUUUAUAUUAAAGCUCAUUAAUUCCUUCUCCUAAUUGCCAUUAAUGAACUUAUUUUGAAGAUCUUUCACUAUCUUUGGGUCCAACUGGAAUGCCUUGCCAAGAAAAUCGGGAUUGAUUGAAGGAUUGGCUCCAAAGACUGUGUCGGCUAUGGUAACUUCACCCGGGAAUUGGCUGUUUAGAGCAGAAUAGGCAGCUGCAUUUGUUUUUCCAAUGUUGAAUUGGAAGUGAAUCAAACCUUGUGGAAACACAAAAACAUCUCCCUUAUUUAGAACUUUUGCGAUGAGUGUGUUAUUCAGUUGGUCUGAUGUCACAAAACCGACAUAAAGAGUUCCUUCCAGGACUAAGAAGAUUUCGCUGGCACGGGGGUGAAUGUGAGGUGGCCUUUGGCCAUAUGGUGCAUAGUCAAUACGGAAUGCUGAUAUGCCAAGGGUGUUGAGUCCUGGAAUUUGCUCAACAUUUGCAUCUGUUUCAUCAACACCAAGUCGAUUUGCUGUGUUUCCAGGCUUGCCUAGCCCUGAGAAGAAGAAAUCUUCUGCUCUCGCAAGCUUGGGGUCCUUGCAGAACUUCCCAUUCACAAACACUACAAGAACACACACAUACACGCACAAAGGGGGGGGGGGGGGGGGGGGGGUGAGAAUAAUGAAGUACCCGCACAAAUUAUAUUGAAAAUUAUAUGUUUCAUCAGUUCAGUUUACGUACCACCAUCCUUGGGGUCAUUGAUGGCUACACAGACAUCUUGAAGAUGGCCAGGGUCAGUGGCAGAGGCCAAAGAAGAAGCCAAAGCCAAGAGGGCAAAACCUAUAAGAAAUUGAAUUACCUUCAUGGUGAUUAAGUCACAGGAUGUGCCUAUCUCAAACUUUAAUCAAGUGUUGUGAUUUGAGAAUCUUGUGAGGAACUAGACUAUUUAUAGAACCAAGUCCAUGAACGAGUUUGUGUGUUCAAUUAUUAGUCCUCGAAGCAAGUCAAGACUUAUUGGGUCCUUAAUAAUAUAACUUUGUAAUGUUUUGCAUCCCUCGUUUUCAUUUGUUUUUCAAAAUUUACAUCUAGAACUUGAUUGAUGGUACACAUCUUAAAUAUAAAUUGUAAAACAUAAAAAAUAAUGUUUGGCUGACAAUGAUAUAACUUUGUAAUGUUUUGCAGCUCUCAUUUUCAUUUUUGUUUGUUUGCCGGUACACAUAUUAAAUGUAAAUUGGAAAACAUACAAAUCAAAGUCUGGCUACAAUGAUAAAUGAACCGACCCGCUUCGAAUUUUUCUGGGUAAAUCAAUCUAGUCUCAUCAAAACUGACUUGAUAUUAAUCUAAUUAAUGAAAAUUCUGUUAAAAAUUCAGCACUUUUUUAUAAAUAUAACACUCUCAAUAUACAAAUAUGAAUAUAACACUCCCCAAAAUAAUUUAAUAUACAACCAACUCUAAUGAUCAACAUUCUCAAUAAAAAUACUAAAUUUUAGUAUUUGACUCAAAAUAUCUAUAGGGUAUCAAAAGAUUAUAUUAUAACUAAGAGAAAUUAUCAUUGCACCACCUUUAUUUUGUCUUAUGUUUAUCCAACUACUACAAAAUUUUAACAUGUACUUUGCACCACUUUUCUUUUCACAUUUGUAUCAACUAGUCACUUUACAUUAACACUAUUAAAUAAUUUUAAUAAAAUGAUAAUUUUACCCUAAAUAAAUUAAAAGACCAUUUUAUUUUAUAAAAAAUUUAAAAAAUAAAAAAAUAUAAUGAUAAAAAUAUCCCUAAAUUUAAUAAAAAUAAAUCCCAAAAUUAGAAUUUUUAUUUUUAAUAAAAAUUAUUUUAAUAUAAAAUUAUAAUUAUAAAAAUAAUUACAAAAUUUUAGGAUUUAAUAAAAAUCUCCUAAAUUAUUAAAAUUUUAAAAUUUAUUCUUUUAAGAAAUAAAUUAAGUUAUUUUAAUAAAAUUUUACAAAUUAUAAUUUUUAAUAAAUAAAUUUAUUUAUUUUUAUUAAAAUUUUUAAUAAAAAUAAUUAUUAAAAUUUUGUAAAAUCUAAAUUUAGUAAAAAUCAGUUGAACACCUCUAUUUGAGAUUUAUUUUUUUAUUAAAUUUAGGGAUAUUUUUAUGAUUAUAAUUUUUAAUAUUAAAAAUUUUUAUAAGAUAAAAUAAUCUUUUAAUUUAUUUGGGGUAAAAUUAUCAUUUUAUUAAAAUUAUUUAAUAGUGUUAAUGCAAAAGUGACUAAUUGAUACAAAUGUGAAAAGAAAGGUUGUGCAAAAUACAUGUUAAAAUUUUGUGGUGGCUGAAUGAACAUAAGGCAAAAUAAAAGUGGUGCAAUGAUAAUUUCCCUAUAACUAAUAUUAACAUAUUUGUUUAUUCUUAAUCCCAAAAGAAUAAUAUAACAAAAUUAUACAAUCCCAAAAGGGUGAGAUGAUCCGGAUGUCCUAACAAAAAAAUCAUUUAUAUCUUCUAAUAUCAUCACGUGGCCAAAACUCAAAAUAUAUUUACAGCCGCUGGGUCGGUUUGGUGUACCUGCAACCUCCUGUUGAGGGGAGGAAAAUAUAAUAAAAACCGGAUGAGUAUAAAACUCAGUGAGCUUAGUGAGUGUAUAGUAAUUUUUGAAAACAAAUUUUUACUUUAAAAGAAAUAAUCAUAUCAUUUCCAAACACAGUUUCAUCAAACCAUAUGCGAGAAACCAGUAAUAAAUCAUUUAACAUUUAAAUCAUAUUACCAACCUUGAAAAGCAUAUAUAAUAUCGUAGCUAAUAACCAUGGAAAUCAUAUCACAAUAUCAUAUAGAAUACACAAAUAUGAAAAUCAUCACUAAACAAGUACCAAGGGGAAUAAUCUCAUCGUAUCCGGACCUCAACGGAUGGGCAAUGACGUACUAUUUAGAUAUUGUCACACCCUGGAGCUACACGGAUAGACAAGAAAAUAUCAUCUCAUAUCUCAUGAUAUAUGUGCAUGUAUAAUCUAGUCCCCAAAUGACAAAAGCGCCCAAGCACAUGGUCCAAAGCCUCUAUGUGUACUUAGACGAGCCCACAAUGCAUGUAUCUCAUAUGUAUCAUCUGUAUAUGUAUCACUGUUAUCAUCAUAUCACAUGCAUAUGCCCCCAAAAGGCAGAAGUGCCUAAACACACGGCCCAAAGCCUCUAUGUGUGUUCAGACUGGCCCCAAAGACCUCUCAUCUCUAUACUUAUAAAAGAGAAAUGUAUUGUCCAAUGAUUUUAAAAACAAUCUCUAUACUCAUAUUCAUAUAAAUUAUAAUCAUACAUUUCUUUUUAUUAUCACAUCUAAAUUCACUUUUCUCAUCUUUAAAAUACCAUAAUAUUUUAUUCAAAGUCGAUACGAAAAAUUAUUAACGAAACAUUUUAAUAUAAUAUCAAUGCGUGAAUAAAAUCCAUUUCAAGAAAAUCAUUAAAUCAGAACAUUUAAAAUACUUAUUUCACAAACAUACUUUACUAUCAUAAUUAAUUAUGAAAAUAAAUUUUGUAUAUUCCACUCACAGUGACGAUGUUUACGCUCGGUUAUCGUCCACAUCCGCGGACUGGCUCUCACUUGCGGAUCCUCCUAAAUCAAGAAAACGACAUAAUUAUUUUCUAUAAAUCAGAAUUAGGACUAAAUUUAUGCAACAAACUCGAAACAAACAUCUAUCCAUAAUUUACAACUCCCGUAUCGAUAAAAUUACUAAAAUACCCUUGAAUAUGUAAAUCAUUAAGAUACUUCGAAAUUAUAAAUCACCGAAUUACCCUCGGAAUCAUAAUUACACCCAAUCCUCAAUUUCAGGAAUUACUGAAAUAUCCACAGGCUCAGAAAUUACAAAACCGCUAUCAAAAUGUGAAAUUACCGAAUUGCCCUUACCGGUCAACGGUGGCCGGAAUUCAAGCAACGGUGACCGGGAAGCUCAGGUCAGACGCUUCUCGCUGAGCUGAGUUCAAUGAUACCGGCAGUGUGCUCCCACGCGUGGCGACGGCACCAGAAUCUAGCUCGACAGUCGUGUUACUACAACGGCUGAACCACGACGAAUCGACGGCUCUUGGUGGGUGUGGAUGGUCAGAAAAUUAAAAGGGAGUCGUGGGGAACAAAAUGCAGCCGGUGCUGUCACCCAAAACCGGUGAAAAUCUCAACAGAGCAAGGUGGAAAAAUAGCGGGUUUUUCAAGAUUUGGUCACCGACGUUCUAGCUGUUUUCCGGCGACGUGGACGAUUGGGGCAUGAUGGCCGGUCUGCAAGCUUCAGAUUGGUACCAAACUUGACCGGUUGGGUGGCCGGAAUCACAAGAUAUCGCCGGGUCGAAUUUCAGGUCAAACGGGUCGGGUUUCGGGUCGGUUUACAGCUUCUCUCACUCUCUCGCACGUGUGUGUCUGUUUCCCUGUGUCAAACUUCUUCUUUUACUUUUAUUUACUUUUUAACCGCCUCAUCUUUUUUUUUUUUUUUUUUCCACGUGUGUUACAAUAAAACCCAAAACAGGUUAGACACGUUUCCACCAAUCUUCAAAACGAACAUAAAAUAUAAUAAGAAACAAUAUUUUAACGCGUUUCCAAAGCAUAAUUAAAAUAUAAUUUUUUCAUUGGAAAGAAACGAGUUGAAGAAUUUAUGAAAAUGGGUGAGAAACAAAUUCAAGUCUCUGGCCACAGGCUAACAGUUGAGAGUCAUGUUCUGUAAAUAUCGAUGUUACCGGACUUGAUUGGUUUGUUGUUGGACUUAAUGAAGAUGCAUUAUUAGCCAUUUUUUCUUUUUCAUAUCAAUUUUCAUAGCUGCUUUAAUCAUUUUUAGUUAUGAAUGCAUUACCAAUGAUGCACUUGUUUUUUUCAUUACGUGUUAAAAUAUUGUUUUCUGUAAAUAUCGAUGUUACCGGACUUGAUUGGUUUGUUGUUGGACUUAAUGAAGGUGCAUUAUUAGCCAUUUUUUUCUUUUUCGUGGCUGCUUUAGCCAUUUUUUCUUUUUCGUGGCUGCUUUAACCAUUUUUAGUUCUAUGAUUGCUUUACCAAGUCAAUGAUGCACUUGUUUUUUUUCAUUAAGUGUUAAAAUACUGUUUUCAGUGGUCACGUUAAUUGAUAUAUAUCAUUUUCCAUCUUAUUUUCAGUGAUCACAAAUCAAAAUGUGAAUAAGCUGGUGUCGGCACGUUUGGUUAGAGAUAGUGAUAUCAUUUUCCAAUGUCAAGUGAUAUAUAUCAUUUCAACUUUAAAAGCUAAUUUUAAUAUUUAAUAAAUAUUUUUACAAAUAACUUUUAGUAAAAUCAUGUAAAUUUUGAAAAAUAGAAAAAAAUAGUUUUUUAAAAUCUGAUUUCGAGAAUCACUUUUAUACUUAAUAUAUAAUUUAUAUAUAUCCUCAUAUAUAAGACAAAAAUUCAAAAUCAUCCUUAUUAAUUAGAAAAUAAAAUUAUUAAUUUAAAAAAAUUAUUAUUAUUAUCAAUUAUAUUGAGAUAACAAAAUAAAAAAUAAAAUUGAUAAUAUAAAAUAUUUAUUUUAGUUAUCAAUUAUUAUAUAUACACAACUAAAAAUAUUUUAUUUACAUGUUUAUAAAUGUGUAAUUAAAUUUUAUUCAACAAAUGUUCACUUCACUUAUUUAUAUUCUUACAACAUUUUAACAUUAAGAUUUACCAAAUACAUACAACCGCUUUUAAAACUCACAACAUUUUUAAAAAUAAAUUUUACUAAACUUUUAAUUGGUUCUCUAUUAUAGCUGAUUAUUUCUACAGUAUGACUAACAAUAAUUAUUUUAAAAGAUAUAACAUUAUUAACUUAGCCCUUAGUGACUCAAUUGAUUAAAAUUAAGUCAAUUAAAUCACUAAGUUAGGAAAACAAACCGCCCUUUAGUUACUUUCUUAAUGUAAAUAUUAGUAAAUUAUAAUGCAAAUAAAGAUAAUAAUCUCUUCCUUUGUUCACUUUUUUAAUUAAAAUUAGUUGCAUUAGCUAUUUUGAAUAACAAAUUGAAUUGAUCACGAAAUAAUAAUCUCUUCUUCCAAUCAUAUGAGUGGGUUUGAGUGACUCAGGUAGUCAUGGGAAUUUGUUUUCUUUGAUUUCUACACUUGGCUUUUUAGGAUUAUUUGUAAGGACAUUAAUUAUGUAUUUUUAAUGGGUUUAUAUGUUAAUUAUAUUGCAUGUAAUAUUAAAGGUUUGUCAACAAGUUGGCAACCAUUUAAGAGUAUCUCCAAAAAUCUUUAUAAAUUUUAUUCUUUAAAUAUCUAUUUACUUACCUAUGUGACAAAUAGAAUGAUGAAAAAAUAUGAUAUUCUCUAAAAGUCUCUUCAAAUAGAAAUAGGUUAAUAUUAUUUUAAUCAAAUAAUAAUUUUUUUAAAGGAAAAGUCAAUAUCAAUUAAAGCACUUAUCUCUCUUUCUCCAAUGAAAAGUAAGAAAACAUAAAUUGAAGAUGGAGAAAUCAAAUCUCCAAAUUUAAAAAGAGAUAAUCAUUUUUUAUUUAAAAAAUCUUAAUUGAAGUGUCUUUUGAAGUCGUAAAUAUUGAUGUGGCUCUUUAAAUAAGUAAUACAAGCUUAUUUGAAGAGCGUUUUGGUGAUGCUCUAAUUAGUUAAAAUGCAUUCAUGUCAGUAUUUAAGAUACGUAUCACUUUCUGGCAACAAUGUUAAUAUAUGUUUCCGUUCGAACUUUCCACUUGCUGCUUGACCCAUGUAAGUUAUGAAAAAGUUUCCGAGAAUUGACUUACAAAAGGAUGCUAAUCUCUUUUCUUUUUCUCUUUUUUCCGGGGGAAAUUGCAGGUCAAGAAUCUGGAGAGGUCAUAUUUCAAAAUGUCAAGGCUCCAUUGUUCUGGGCAGAAGCCCCAACACUUCAAAGUAACUGAGAAUGACUUGGACUUCCCUUGCGAUAGAUAGGUAGACGGGAAGGGAAACGGGAUUGCAGAUAAAAGCAAAGAGAAAUAAUAGAACGAUGAUUAUUGUAUUCAGAAGAAAUUGUUUCACCUUAUUCAAAUGACGCCAUGGCUGUGUUUGUGAUGUCAGUGCUGACGAUGGAUUGUAGUUUGUGUCCAAAUGUACCUUUUUCUUUUUUUAGGUCUGAACCAUCUGGUAUCCGGCGAUCACAUUGGGCCCCGACUACUCCGGAUUCGGGACGGGUGCCAAUAAAGCCCUCCCAACGAGAGCGACUCCCAGAGAACUCGAACUGAAGAGCUAACCCAAUCGACCCACCUAAGGAGUUCAGCCGGCGCCAGCUGAACCAACACCUCGUUGGUUCCAAAUGUACUUUUCUAUGUAUAAGGAUUCGUAAAAAACGUUGGAGAUUAGAAAAGAAAAUAAAUAGAUCCUUCCUCAAGCUGUCGGUGCUCUUCUAUUAGAGUUGGGACCAGUGGCACCUCUUUAAUCUCAUCAUGAAAUUCCUUUUUCAGUUAUAUUUACUUUAUUUGUGAUAAUGUCUUUUUUUUCCUUUUUUUAUUUUAAGAACACUUUUAAUUUUUUAUUUAAUUUUUUUAGUUAAAACUUUAAAAGUAGUAGUGUUAUUCAUUUUUUAUUUCUUUUGUAAUCUUAUUAUUAUCUUACGCAUAAAUUAAAAGAUUUAAAAAAAAUUUUAGGUGAUGAAUUUUUUAAUGUUAAUUAUUUAAUUAAAUUAUACAUAUGUUAAACUAUAAUUUAAAAAUAAUUUUUAAGUACACAAAUAUUUAAUUAAUAAGAAAUAUGAAAAGAAUAAUAGAUUAUUUCAAAUUUUGUAUGGUUUAUUUUAGUUAGAUAAGAAGUAACCGGCAAAAAAUUUAAAAAAAGAUUGAUUAUAAUUAUAAGUAAUUUUUUUUAAAGAUAGAUUAUGAAUAUAAGUGAUUUAUUAAAAAAAAAUUAUGUAUGAUUAAUUUUAUUUGAAGCAGGGUUUUGAAGGAUAAUGAAGGGGUCCCAAACGCUGUGGGUUUGUUGGCUCUUCCGCUGUCAAAAGUCACGUAUGCUUGGAAGCUUUUAAAAAGCAUGAUGGUAAUGUAAUACUGCAAUUGGAUCAUGGAUUUUUCAUUUAAGAAGAUAGCCACCUGGCGGCAACUCUGAUAUACAAAACAUGUAUUUCAGAAUACGGAAUCUAUCCAAACAUAUAGCAUGCAAGUGCGAUUGCCAGCACGAGCAGUUUUUAUUGCGGAAUUCUUUCAAACACAUAGCACGCAUGUGAAGUUCCCGCAUUGAACCUUCCAAGAUGUUAGUUUCUCUAUUCAGAAACUGAACUCAAUGCCUCAUCCCCUCCUUCAAAGCCAUGACCCUCGUGGCCGCGGUUAACACCUCAUAUUGGGAAAGGGACUAUCACAACCAGUUGUAAAUUAAGCGGAAACAAAACUUUUUCUCUCUUUGUAUGAUUAAAAUAUGAUGUGUACCACAAAUAAAUAGGCAGAAAAAUAAACUAAUAAAUCUAAAGUAAAAAUCAACCACAAGAGACACAAAUUUUUAUGUGAAAAACUCAAAGCGAAAAAAACUAUGGGACCGUAAUCCGAUAUAAUCUUUCAAUAUAUUAAUGAGAUUACAACACAAAUUCUUCUCUAGAUAAUACUAAAAGCUACCAACAUCAAGAAUCUCAAUAUUCUUGGCUUACAGUAACAGUCUAAUAAACAGUUUCUCUAAUAAAUAGGUAUCUUAAAUAAUAGCCAACGAGAGAAUAAAAUAAAAAUCAAGACCAAUAAAAUUAUAGAAGGCGGUGUCAGGAACUUACCCUCAAAAUUUGAGAGAAAAUAAAGUUAAAAUCACCUUCCGAUCAUCUAAUUAAAGAUUGAAAAUCUUACCCCCAAAUAAUCUCAACUCUACUGUCUAUUCUUUUCCCUCCCGUCUUUCUCUUCUCUCAAAAGGUUACUGCCGCCUCCGCUUAUGCUUGUUUAUAUAGCCAAAUUUCAUGAAAAUUUUCAUUUGCCCCCUUUAAGUUUUCUUUAAUUACUUAAUUAUCCAAACUUAUUAAACUUUGAGCUUGGGCCAACCAAAUAAGAUGGACCCAACAAAUCUCCCUCUUCAGAUCAUAUGGGGGGCACCACUAAACCCGCUUUCUAUAUACAACUUUACAGCUUUUCCUUGGACAAUGAUUUUGUCAUCAUAUCUGACCCAUUCUCCAUUAUGUGUAUCUUUUCAACCUACAACUGUUUCUUCUCAAGCACAUCUCGUAUCCAAUUAUACCUCACAUCAAUAUACUUGGAUUUUGAAUGGUAUGUCGAAUUCUUUGCCAAGUGAAUGAUACUCUGACUAUCGCAGUACACAACAAAAUUAUCUUGCUUCACACCCAACUCUUGCAGGAAAUUCUUCAUCUACAAGGUUUCUUUGCAACCUUCAGUGAUUGCAAUAUACUCUGCUUUUGUGGUAGACAAGGCAACACAUUGCUGAAGUUUGGACUGCCAUGAGACUGCUCUCCUUGCAAAGGUGAGCAAAUAUUCUGAUAGAGAUUUUCUGGAAUCAACAUCUCCUGCCAUGUCUGCAUCAAUGUACACUUAUAACACAAGUUUAUCACCAUCAAACAUAAACAUGCAUUGGAAGUGCCUCUAAGGUAUAUGAGAAUCUACUUUACUACAGUCCAGUGUUCUUUGCCCAGAUUAGAGAGAAACCGACUGACUACACUAACUGCAUGAGCAAUAUCUGGUCUUGUACAAACCAUGGUGUACAUCUAACUACCAACUGCUGAAGUAUAAGAAACUCAUUUCAUCUUUUGCUUCUAUUUCUCACUUGUAGGAGAAUGCUUGGAAGUAAGCUUGAAAUGGCCUGCAAGUGGAGAACAAACUGGUUUUGUCUUGCUUAUGUUAAAUCUUUCAAGAACCUUUUCAACAUAUAUUUCUUGAGAUAACCAUAACUUCCCAGAUUUUUUAUCGCAGGAAAUCUUCAUGCUAAGAAUCUGUUUCACCGGUCUUAAGUCCUUUAUUUGCAAAAGACUUGCUAAGCUCCCUCUUCAGAUUGUCAAUCUUACUAGCAUCUCAGCCAACAAUCAACAUAGCAUCCACAUAAAGCAAAAGAAUAAUGAAAUAAUUAUCACCAAAUUUCUUCACAAAAAUACAAUAGUCACACAUAGUCUUAUUGAAACCAUGAUUCUCCAUAAAAGAAUCAAACUUCUUGUACCACUGCCUUGGUGCCUGUUUUAGCCCAUACAAACUUUGGCUCCUCCCCCGCCUUUCUUUCUUUUCUGAAAUAAGUGCAUCUGACUUAGAGGGAACCGCUUCAACACUUUUUCUUCUAGAUUCUUCAUUCUGCAGCCUAUCUGUAACCAUAUUCAAGGUUAAUUUCCCGUUCGACACUGAAUUAUUUACCGACACCACUAAUGUCUCCCAAUUAUCAGGCAAAGAACUAAGCAACAACAAUACUUGUAACUCAUCAUCUAGAAUAUUUUUCAUAGUAGUCAACUGAUCAACCAAGCCUUGAAACUCACUAAUGUAUUCAGUUGUACUGCGCCCUUCCUUGUAUUUCAAAUUAACAAGUCUUUUCAUCAGAUUGACUUUAUUCUGUGCUGUCGGCUGCUCAUAAAUCGUCUCUAAUUUUCUCCAAAUAACAUCAACCUUGGAUUCUUUCGCGUCACGGUGAUACACACUUUGAUCAAUCCAUGAUCUAAUAGUACCCACAGUCUUCUAGUUUAAUUGAGCCCAUUUCUUAUCAUCUAAAUCUGCGGGUCUAUCUUAUUCGCCUUCAAUGGGUUCAUGUAAGUCUUUUAUGUACAACAAAUCUUCCAUCCUAGACAUCCAAAUACCAUAAUUUCAUGAUUUUAAUUUAAUCAUGCAUGCCAAGGACUCCUCCAUCUCAACCACAUAAGUAAUAAAAAUACAAAACCUAACGCUCUGAUACAACUCUGUUAGGAAAAUGCACUACCACAACCAGUUGCAAGUUAAGCGGAAACAAAAUUUUUUCCCUUUUUGUGCGUUUAAAAUAGGAUGUAUACCACAAAUAAAUAGACAGAAAAAUAAACCAAUAAAUGCAAAGCAAAAACCAACCACAAGAGACAUUGAUUUUUACGUGGAAAAUCCAAUAUGGGAAAAACCACGGGACCGUAGUCUAAUAUAAUCUUCCACUAUAUUAAUGGGAUUACAGUACAAAUUCUUCUCUAGAUAAUACUAGAGGUUACCAACAUCAAGAAUCUCAAUAUUCUUAGCUUAUAGUAAUAAUUUAAUAACAGUUUCUCUAACACGUGGGUAUCUCAAAUAGUAGCCAACGAGAGAAUAAAAUAAAAAUUAAGACCAAUAGAAUUAUAGAGGGCAAUGCCAGGAACUUACCCUCAAAAUUUGAGAGAAAACAAAGUUAGAAUCACCUUCCGAUUGUCUAAUUAGAGAUUGAAAAUCUUGCCCCCAAAUAAUCUCAAAUCCACUGUCUUUUCUUUUCUCUCCCGUCUUUUUUUUGUCGCAAAAGGUUGUUGUCACCUCCACUUAUGCUUGCUUAUAUAGCCAAAUUUCAUAACAAAUUUUAUUUGCCCCUUCAAUUUUCCUUUAAUUGUUUAAUUACCCAAACUUAUUAAACUUUGAGCUUAGGCCACCAAAAUGAGAUUGACUAACACCUCAAAAGACGAUUACUACGCAGCCGUAAACCACAUCGCCAACAUAGUCCGUCACGAAAUAUAUCCAGAACGCACCCUCAACAGACUCAACCUCACCCUCACCUUAGAGAUUGUCUACUGCGUCCUCCGCAUCUGCCACAUUACUUCCCCUUCUGAAUCCCUCCGCUUCUUCACCUAGGCCUGCUCCCAGCCCUAAUACUCCCCCACCUCCCUCGAAUUCGAACAGCUCAUUUGACCCUUGCCCACCACAAACUCUACCAGUCCAUGUGGAAUCUACAUUCUUUUGGCAUUUGAUUGCGUUACGCCCAAGCACGUUGUUAUUUAUUUUUAAGCAACAAUGGUGUUUGUAAUUAUUGCCUUUUCUGGCUUUAUCUAGUGUUUAUCUGAGUAAUAAACAAUACUAAAUAGUUUGGUUGAUGGACACUUGGACUUGGAGAAGAAACGUGUUUUCAUUUCUUAAAUAAAACAUUAUACACUGAGAGUUAUUUAUAGAUGCAGAUGCUACAUUUUUUCAAAGAUUACAUAUGUGAAUACGGAAGGAAAUGUGUCAAUCCGUUCGGCGCGGAUCUUGUCUUUGACAAGUGCAGAUUAUCCUUUUGACAAGUGCGGAUUCUGUCUUUGAAAGCUUCAUUCAAUGCCGUUUUAUUUGAUUCUCAACACUCCCCCUCAAGCUGGUGCAUAGAUGUCUUGCAUACCCAACUUGUCUAGGAAUUUUGUAAAUGCCCUGCUUGAAAUGGCCUUCGUUAAAAUAUCUGCAAGUUGAUAUUCUGAUCGAAUUUUUGGCAGUUCUAAGAUUUUUUCAUCUAAUUUCUCAUUGAUGAAAAAUCUAUCUACCUCGACAUGUUUUGUUCGAUCGUGUUGAACUGAGUUAUGAGCAAUAUCUCGUGCAGCUUUAUUGUCACAGUAUAGUUGUAUUGGUUGUUGUGACGGAUAGCCCAAAUCGUUUAAGAUAAAACUUAUCAAUAGCCCUUCACAUACCCCAAGGGCCAUGCCUCGAUAUUCUGCUUCAGCGCUCGAACGGGCAACGACAUGUUGUUUCUUGCUUCUUCAUGUGACAAGGUUGCCUCCCACAAAAGUAAAGUAUCAUAAAGUAGAGCGUCUAUCACUAAUUGACCCGGCCCAAUCUGCAUCAGUAUAAACUUCUAUGUUGCUGUAAUCUUCAUUUUUGGAAAAUAGGAUUCCUUUUCCUGGAUUUGUCUUCAUGUACCUCAGGAUCCGCAUUACUGCUUUCAUGUGUUGUUCUCCGGGAUUAUGCAUAAACUGACGUACAACACUCAAUGCAUAAGCAAGAUCUGGCCUUGUGUGGGACAAGUACAUCAAUCUUCCAAUCAACCUUUGAUAUCUUCCUUUGUCUACUGGAACUUGGUCUGAGGUAAUACAAAACUUCAGUCCUUCUUCUAUUGGGGUGUCAAUAGGCUGACAAGCUGUCAUUCCUGUUUCGUGCAAUAGAUAUAAGGCAUAUUUCCUUUGAGACAGAAAGAUUCCUCCCUUAGAUCGAGAAACCUCAAUUCCAAGAAAGUAUUUUAAGGCACCUAAAUCCUUCAUCUUAAACUCUCUUGACAAGUACUUCUGAAGAACCUCUAUUUCUUCCUCGUCGUUGCCUGUAACUACCUUAUCAUCCACAUAGACAAUAAGGGCAGUGAUUUUACCUUGUCAUUUUUUAAUGAAUAAGGUAUGAUCUGAAUUGCUUGUCAUUUUACUUUGGUUAUACCCAAAACGAACCAUAGCCUUUGUGAAUUUCUCGAACCAUGCUCUUGGGGAUUGCUUCAACCCAUACAAUGAUUUCUUCAAUUUGCAUACUUUUUGAUUGAGUCGUUCUGGUCCACUGCAUCCUGGUGGCAGAUCCAUAUAAAUUUCUUCACACAGGUCUCCAUAGAGGAAAUCAUUUUUUACAUCGAACUGUUGCACUGGCCAAUCCAAGUUGACUGCUAAUGAUAAUAAGAUACGAAUAGUAUUAAUUUUUGCUGUCGGUGCAAACAUAUCAGUAUAAUCAAUCCCGUAGGUUUGGGUGUAACCCUUAGCUACGAGUCUUGCUUUGUAUCGUUCAAUAGAGCCAUCUGCUUUGUACUUUAUAGUGUAGAUCCAUCGACAACCCACUAGUUUCUUUUCUGGUGGAAGAUCAACUAGUUCCCAUGUUUGAUUUUUCUGAAGAGAUCUCAUUUCAUCAUUCAUAGCCGCUUCCCACUUUGGGUCUUUUAAAGCUUCUUGCACACUGUUAGGAAUAGAUACAGCAGAUAAUUGAUUCACAAAUGACUGAUUUGAUUCUGACAAGCGAUGGUUAGACACAAAAUGACUCAUAGGGUAUUUAACUAUACUAGAGAAGUCAGGCUCGUAUGUGGGUUUAGGGAUACCUCUAUUUUGACGUUGGGAAAGAAUUCUUUUGAUUGGACUUGUGGUAGGAACAUCCUCUACAGACGAUUGGUUAGGUAUUUUUUCAUGUGACUCAUUCUCGAUUGCAGUUGUGUCUGAAUUAUUGUGCUCCCCAAAUGUGUCUUCACUUAUCUCAGCCUGAGAAUCAUCACCAUUUGCUUUUCCAGUAUCUUGAAGGUUUACUAUCUCAAUGGAAUAUUGACUUUCUUCAGGUGGAAGAUAUGUAAGAGUAUGGAUUUCCUUUUUAUUAUGCUCCCCCUGAAAUUCAGACUCUGACAAGUAGUACAUGAUAUCUUCAUGAAAAACGACAUCCAUGGUGAUGUAUAUUUUUCUUGAUGGUGGAUGAUAGCAUCGGUAUCCCUUUUGAUGUAAGGCAUACCCUACAAACACACAACGUAGUGCUCGAGGAGAUAAUUUGUCUUGUUGCGGCAAAUGAACGAAGGCAACACAGCCAAACACGUGGGGGCAGAUUCGGCACAUUUGGUGACAUAAUUGCAUUAUUCAGAACUUGAAAAGGAGUCUGGAAUCCAAGGGAGCUUGAAGGUGUUCGAUUGAUCAAGUAUGCUGCGGAUGCCAGUGUUUCUCCCCAAUAAGAUAGUGGCAUGUGGGCUUGGAUUAGUGAUGCUCGAACAACUUCUAGUAAAUGUCUGUUUUUUCGUUCAGCAACGCCAUUUUUUUGGGGUGUCCCCACAUAAGUGGUUUGAUGGACAGAUCCUUGUGAUUUCAGAAACUGUUGAAUUGUUGUGCUCAUAUACUCGCCUCCAUUAUCAGUAUGUAGAACUCGAAUUUGUGUCAUAUGAUCAAAAGUCAUAUGAUCAGUUGCCCCAAAAUCAAUUAUCCAUGUACUAUUAAUAACAGGUGUAAGAGUUUUAAGGGCCAUACCUGGACUAACAGAGGUUGCGAUUUGCACUGAAGAUUCUUUUCUAAGAUCUGUAGUGGAUAUGGAUUCAGCUACUGCAGUUUUUUAUCCAUACUUGGUGUUCUUCUUUCGAGUAUCCCACCAGUCAGGAUAUCCAAUGAUUUCAAAACAUUGUUCUUUCGUAUGACCCUUCUUUCUACAAUGAGUGCAAUUGAGUGAUGACUUGUCAACAAACUUCCUUUGAGGCUGCUGUCGUGCUAUCAUAGCAGACGUUUCUGAGUCGACCUUCUUGUUUAGUUUGCUUUGCCGCACAUCUUCUCUUUAGAUCAGAGAAUAACAUUAUUCUAAGUCUGGAAUAAUUUCUUUUCGUAGAAUUUCUCCACGAACUUGGUCAAAUUCUUCAUCUAGCCCAGCAAGAAAAAUGUGCACUCUCAAUCUUUCAACAGACCUUCUGUAUAUUACAACAUCUUCUGAAUCCUUCACGACCACUUUAUCUCGGUGAUCAAGUUCUCGAAAUAUUUUGAUCAAUUCUCCAUAGAAUUUAGAGAGUGGUUGUCCAUUUUGCUUGGUAGAGAAUGCCUUCUGGUUUAGAGUGAAAACUUGUAAUUCAUCGCUUCCAUCAUAGAAGGCUUUUGAUAAUGCAUCCCAAAUUUCGUAGGCUGUAGGAAUUCGUAAAUAUCGCUUCAUGAUCUCCGGAGACAUGGAUAUGAGUAACCAUCUUUUUGCUUUUUGGUUCUCACUAUACCAUUUCUCAUAUUCUUUUGAAUAUUCCUCAGAUGGCUUUGUACUACUACGAAUAUAUGAGAGUUUUUCUCUUUCUGUAAGAUGCAUCUCCAUUAUUUGAGACCAAACAUCGUAGUUUGUCUCAGUGAGGAUAAUUCUAGCAUUAAAUACUCUAUCAGAUUGAACAGAUUGAAUGACAACAGGACUAGAUUCAGUUGGAGUUUUCUCCAUUUUUUUUGUUUUUUUUUUCGUCUAGAUUGAAAGAAGAAAAAAAAAUAACCUUUUUAGAUAACAAAACGACAAGUCGUUUGGCCACUGCUUGAAAAACUGACAUGUCGGUUAUGGUGGAAUAUAAACGACAUGUCGUUUUAAUCCUGCUGCACUUCUGGAGACUAAACGUCACGUCGUUUUAUCUCUAAUUUAAAAACGACAUGUCGGUUUUAAUAUAAUAAAAACAACACGUCUUUUUUACUGCUGCACACCGGAGAUAAAAAAUGACAUGUCGGUUGACGUCUUCUUCAACCUCUGGAGCGCGUGAGAGCGCGUGAAUGAUGACAGAGGCGCGUGGUUGACUGGCCGUGGCUUCGGGUGGCGCGUGUGAGCGCGUGGAAAUGUGUUUAAAUGCGAAAUUUUUACAGUUUCCUCACUGGAAACUGAGAAAUGUGAUGGUAUUCUUGGUUUUUUUAGGAACACACUCUUGGAAAAUUGAUGGGAUUGUUGAUAAAUUUGUUAACUCAAGUUUUUUACGUAUGAGUGGCUUGUUUCUUGAUCGGCAUGGAUAUCUGUAAUGGUAGGAAUGGGUUUAAGAAAGAAAAUGGUGGGAAAAAUGGUUGUGGGAGGAAUUUGGUUUCCUCUGUUUUUGUUACAAACAGAGCAGCAGAACUUGAAGAAACUUGAGAGUAUUCAUGGCUCUGAUACCAUGAAGAAACGUGUUUUCAUUUCUUAAAUAAAACAUUAUACACUAAGAGUUAUUUAUAUAUGCAGAGGCUACAUUUUUUCAAAGAUUACAUAUGUGAAUACAAAAGAAAAUGUGUCAAUCCGUUCGGCAUGGAUCUUGUCUUUGACAAGUGCAGAUUAUCCUUUUGAUAAGUGCGGAUUCUGUCUUUGAAAGCUUCAUUCAAUGCCGUUUUAUUUGAUUCUCAACACUUGGUAUUGGACUUUGAAUUGACACAGAGGCGGUUGACUCGGAGAAAUGAUUACUUUGAACAUUUUUCGCAUGCAUCAUUUGCUCAUAACUUUUUUGUUCAUCCACAUGAAAUCAAAUACUCAUUUGGUAUGAUAGAAUCAAUGGGCAAUCAUUUUUAUAUUAGCUUAAAAACUAGGUUAUCUUUGCAUAACUAUAGUUUUAGAGUUUCUGUUUAUGUACUUUAUGCUUUCAACUUCUGAUGAUGAAUCGAGUGUUGAGCCCAGAGCAAGCUUUCCUGUUGAAGGAUAUUAAUUUGCAACUAAUUCAUCGGUUACACAUACAGUUAGAAAAAUGUGUACCCGAAUGCCAUGUUAUUGCAUUUACUAAUGUAUAGUUCAUAAGCAUGUCUCUCAUUGUAUACACGAUUAAGGGUGGGUCUGCCUACUACUUUAUAACAAUUAGAGAUGUUCAAAAUUCAAUUCGAUCUGCUCAAUCCGUCUGAUCCGUAGAAAUCCAAUCUGUAAAAUUUUGAUUCGCAAAUUGGUGGAUUGGAUUGAAAAUUUGAUAAUCUGCAAUCGGUGGAUUGGAUAUGGAUCUACUUCUAUAAAUCCGCAAACAAAUAAUAAGUAGUUAUUUAAUUAAAAAAUAAAACUUAUAAAUAUGACAUUAGUACUUACUAGUAAAUAAAUAAGUUAAAAUAUAGUUACAUUAACACUAUAUUAUAUAUUAUCAAAUAAUAAUAUAACAUAAAAAAUAAUUAAAUAAACAAAUAUAGCUUCCUAAAUAGUUAAUUUCAUAUAUUGAUCUAAACAAAUAAGAUUUUUUUCUUUUUAAUGUGUUAUAUUUUGAAACUUUAAAUUUAUUUUCUAGCUUUAUUUAAAUAAUUAAUUAAUUUAAAUCUUAUUUAAUUUUAAAUUUGAUUGGUAUUAAAAUUAGUUUUAUAUUUAAUUUUUUUAUUUAUUUAGUUCGUGCAUUUGACAGAAUUAAGAAUUUUCAGUCCGUAAACCAACCUGCAAAAUGGUGGAUUGGAUAUAGAUCGGGUCAAAUUCGCAUCCGAUCCGUAAACGUAUGAAUUGGAUUUGAAUUUCACCAAUCCAUGGAUUGAAUUAGAUUGAAAAUUUAUAAUCCGCAAAAUCGUGGAUCGAAUAUGAAUUGAUGUCCAAUCCGUAAAAUCCAAUCAGCGAACACCGCUAAUAACAAUUUAUGUUAUACUGACAAUAUUUUCCGUACUGAUCACAAGUUUAAAGUUUUGCUUCUCGAAAUGGCUCCUUUCAUUUAUUUAUUUAUUUAUUAAAAUUGACAUUUUUUAUUUUUUUUGUUUUUGACAAGGAAGGUAAUUGAGGUGUUUAACGAGGGGAUGAUGUUUUCCUUUAAAAGAAUAAAUAAAUAAAAGACAAAUUUUUAUGCUAUGGGGACAAAAUGCCAAUUGAGAAGAAUUGUGUCCCACUAAAAUUGGGUUAAGUAUUUAAUUUGAAUUGGCAUCUAAAACAGUUGUAGGCUAACCAAUAUUUCUACGAAAAAAAAAAGUCAGAAUUAUUGCUAGCUUCUUGUCUUUAAUUUUCUAAACUCUGCGCAGUUGGUGUAGUAGUUUUUGCUGCUCUUCUCUUUGCGGCUAUAGAGGCUAUAGCCGAACGUGAACUAGGAAAGUGGAAACGUUGCACCUUAACAUACGUCGUCAACUACGACUACAAAUCUAUUUCAUGGUCCCAAAAUAUCAAUCAGUGCCAUUGUAAUUAUCAAAACUAAAAAAUUAUGGUUUUUACUAAGUUACAGUUACUAUCCAUGCAAAAAUAUGCAAAACGUAGUAACAUAAUAGUGAGCCAUUUAAUUUUUAUAUGGGUUGUAUGUUAUACAAAUUGUAAUUUAGCGAAACUCAAAAAUUAUACGAAAGAAAAAAUUUAUUAAUUUUCUUUUUAACUAAAUGAUUAGAAUACAUUUACUCAUAAUUACCAAAGCAAAAAUUAAGUCAUAAUUAAGGGCUUGUAAAACACUUAAUUUCAAACCACUAAUUUUGAGAGCUACAACAAUAAGAGGAGUUAAGUAACAAUUAAGUGCUUAUAAAUGAUAACUUUUAGUAUUCAAAAACUAACCACAAGCUCAAGCCCAUCUCAUAUGAAUAACGCUGUUGUGCGAUAGGGAUUACAAUUGUGUGACAAAUGACCCUUGAUAAAUUUAGACAACUAGUAGAAAUUAGAAUUUAAAUUCUUUAUUUUUAAGUUUUUCCAAUAUUUCAAUGUUAUUCUCACACAUUUAAUUAAAAUUAAAUAAAUCUUAAGAACAUAUAGAGACAUGUUUUUGUAAUAUAUAAAAGAUUACAUGUCUCUUCUUCUUUCUAUUUAAAUUCAACAAUAUGUAACCAUUAAUAAUAAAUUAAUUAUAGUUUUGAAACAUUCAUUUAUUUUAUUAAGCCAACAACUAAACUUUAGUGGUUUAAAAUACAUCAACUAACUAAUAUAGAAAAAAAGGUUCUUUCAUCUCCCCUCACCAAUACCACUAGAACCUAAUUUUAAUGUCAUAAUUUCAUAUUUAAUUAUGCAACCUUUUAUUUAGUGUCUUUUGACUUCUUCAAACUAUAUAAAUAUUAAGUAUUUAAGAUUUAUUAUGUUUGAGUUUUUUUUAUUAUUUAACCAACAUCCUCUUUAGAAAUGUUCUUGUGUUUUUAUUUUUUGACUUAUUUAAAUUUUUUGUAUUGUGUGCUUCAUGGAGUAUUCUUUUCUUCAUGAGUUAAACAAUGAUAAAGAUAUUUGGAUGAUAAGGGUUAGGCUUUGUAAAAUGUGGGAGUCUGUUAAUACCAAGAAAAAUGGAGAGUUGAUUAGUGUGAACAUAAUUUUUAUUGAUGAAAAAAUUGUGUACACUUAACUAUACACAUUAAUAUAUAUUUUUAAAGUUAACAAAAAAAUAAUUAACUUUCAUAAAUAACAUUAGUUUUAUAAGGCUGCGUCAUCUUUAAAAAAAAUCAAUUCAUAUUUUUUAUCAAUUUUAUCAAGUGUAAAGUAAUAAAAAAAUAAUACUAAAUUUUUUUUUUAAAACCGCACGAAGUGCGGUUCUAUUUCCUAGUAAGAUUAUAAUAGUAAAAGAAUUCAAUAAUUGCACUCUUAAUGUUACCAUUUAAAAAUUAUUAAGUUAAGAAUGAAAUAGGUAAUUUGGGAAACCCAGCUGGAGGGAUUUGCUUAACAUCCUUUAAAAUUUUUUCCCAGCUGGAAGUAAUUGCUGAACAUCCUUUUCAAUUCCCGAGUAUUAUCUAAUCAGCUUAUUUUGUCAUUUUUAGGUGUUUGCAAAGGCUUUUGGCAAGGAUACUGGGUUGGCUUACGUGUAGUGGACUGAUCAUGUUGACUUUGUUCGGUAGCACAUUUUAUUUUACGCGUGUCUAGUUGUAACCAUGUCUCUCACUGUAUACACCAGUGUGAGUGGGUCCGCCUACUAUUUUAUGACAAUUUAUGUUAUACUGACAAUAUUUUUCGUGCUGAUCACAAGUUUGAAGUUUUGCUUCUCUCGAAGAGCUGGCUCCUUUCAUUUAUUUAUUUAUUAAAAUUUACAUUUUUUUUCCGUUUCCUUGCAAGAAAGGUAAUUAGAUUAAGUUUAACGGGGCGAUGAUGUUUUCCAUUAAAUAAGUAAAACACAAUUUUAUGCCAGAGUAGAAAUGGCCAAUCAAAACAAGGGUUAUCCAUGUUCGUGCCAUGCCGUCGUGUGCUUAAUUUUUUUUUCUCGUACCUUGCCCAUAUGUGUUGUGUUGUGUCUAAAAAAAAGUUCAAUAAUUUUUUUUAGUUUUUUAAAAGCACGUACUAAGUAAUUGGUAUAUUUUUUUUAAGUUUAUAUUUUUUUUAGGUCUAUACAUUUAUUCAAAUUUAAUAGAAUUGAAAAUUUAAAACUCAAGUCUAUAUUUUAUAAUAAUAAACUAAUAAUAAUAAGAUAAUGUAAUAUUAAUUUUUAAGUUUGACCUUUUAACAUUAUUUUUUUUUAUACUUAACAACAACAACAAUAAUAAAUUUUUCUUAAGGGUUAACUUAAUUGUUAACUUAGACUUACAUAGAGUCAUAGAUCAUAAUUCACAAUAAUAUUAAUGGAUAUUUAUAAAAUCAUAAUAAUUAUAAUUUUAUUUAUUAAAAUCAUGAUAUCAAUUAUAUAUUUAAUAAAUUAUAAAUAUAAAUCAAUUAUAGUACUUUUUAAACUAAGAAUUAAAUGAAUUUAAAAAAUUUAUUUUCAAGUUAUUUGUAAAACUAUAAAAUUUUAAGUUUACUUUCAUUAAAAAAUAAAAUGUGCUUAUUGUGAACUUUUUUAUCGUGCUAUACUUAGUCCAUUUCUAAUCAUGCAGUGCUUUUAAUGCUCGCGUGCUUAAAAUUUUAAGUCUGGCCCAGUCCACGUGCGUACUGUACCAUACCACAUACCCUACCAAAACGUGCUCGUAUUGUGCCGUGCCACACGAAUACAUGUCGUGCCAUGUGUCAUCCACUCCAUUGGCCAUCUCUACGCCAGAGUGACAAUAUGCCACAUUGAGAAGAAUUGUGUGCCCCUAAAGCUGGAUUAAUAAUUUAAUUUGAAUUAAAUCUAUAACAGUUGUAGGCUAACCAAUAUUUCCACAGAAAAAAGCAGUUCAAAAUUAUUGGUCGCAUCUUGUCAUAAAUUUUUUAACUCUGCGCAGUUGGUGUAAUAGUUUCGGCUGCUAUUCUCUUUACUACUAGAGCCUAGAGAUGGAGUGAAGCAUGAUGGGAAUUAGGAAAAGAGAGUUGCUUCCUUAUAACCGUAACUUAGCGCCCACACACAGCAACAGUACCGCUGGUGGGGCCUGGUACUAUUGCUACGUAAGUUACAUUAAACGUAACUUAGGCCCUCCCUUACAAUUAACGUAAUGUUCUAGGUUAACAUAUCUAAUCAACUACGACUACAAUUCUAUUUCAUGGUCCCAACACAUCAUAUCAAUCAAUGUCAUUAUCGUUAUCAAAGCUAAAAAAUCACAAGAAAGAAAAAAGUUUUUGUUUUAGCUGAAUGAUUAGAUAUUACAUUUACUCGUAAUUAGGGGUGUUCAGAAUCCAAUUCAAUCUACUCAAUCCAUUUGAUCCGUAGAAAUCCGAUCUGUAAAAAUUCGAUAUGCGGAUUGGUGGAUUGGAUUGAAAAUUUGAUAAUCCACAAUCAGUGGAUUAGAUAUGAAUCUACUUAUGUAAAUCUGUAAAAAUCUGUAAAUCCGCAAAAAAAAAAAAAAUUUAUUUAAUUAAAAAAUAAAACUUGUAAAUAUGAUAUUAGUACUUACUAGUAAAUAAAUAAGUUAAAAUAUAGUUACAUUAACACUAUAUUAUAUCUAAUCUGAUAAUAAUAUAAAAUAAAAAAAUUAAAUAAACAAAUAUAGCUUCCUAAAUAGUUAAUUUUCAUAUAUUGAUCUAAACAAAUGAGAUUUUGUUUUCUUUUUGAAUUGUUAUAGUUUGAAACUUUCUAGUUUUAUUUAAACAAUUAAUUUAUUUAAAUCUUAUUUAAUUUUAAAUUUGAUCGGUAGUAAAAUUAUUUUUAUAUUAAAUUUUUUUAUUUAGUUAGUUCGUGUAUUAGACAAAAUUAAAAAUUUUCAGUCUGUAAACUAAUCAGCAAAAUGGUGGAUUGGAUAUGAAUUGAGUCAAAUUCAUAUCUGAUCCGUAGACGUAUGAAUUGGGUUUGAAUUAAAUUUUAUCAAUCCGUGGAUUGGAUUAGAUUGAAAAUUUAUAAUCUAAAAAAUCGUAGAUCGGAUAUAGAUUGAUGUCCAAUCUAUAAAAUUCGAUCCGCGCCCUACUCGUAAUUAAAAAAGCAGAAAUUAAGCAAUAAUUAAGGGUUUAUAAAACAUUUAAUUUCAUACCACUAAAUAUGAGAGUUAUAACAGCGAGAGAAGUUAGGUAAUAAUUAAGCGCUUAUAACCGACAACUUUUACUCGAGGUAAAAGACUUAUGUGUUCUAUAACUAACCACACACUAAUCACAUAUGAAUAACACUACGUGUUUACUGUGCCGUACCGCAUAUCUUACCUAAACGUACUCAUAUGGUGUCGUACUAUACCGAUACAUGCCGUGGCAUGUGUCAUCCACUCCAUUGGCCAUCUCUACCCCAAAGUGACAAUAUGCCGCACAAGAAUUGCGUGCCCCUAAAGCUGGAUUAAUAAUUUAAUUUGAAUUGACAUCUAUAACAGUUGUAGGCUAAUCAAUAUUUCUACAGAAAAAAGUGGUUCAGAAUUACUGGUCGCGUCUUGUCAUAAAUUGUUUAACUCUGCGCAGGCGGUGUAAUAGUUUCGGCUGCUAUUCUCUUUACCGCUAGAGCCUAGAGAUGGAGUGAAGCAGAAUGGGAAUUAGGAAAAUGGUAAUGUUCUACGUUAACAUACCUAGUCAACUACGACAACAAUUCUAUUUCAUGGUCCCAACACAUCAUAUCAAUCAAUGAACAUCAUAUCAAUCAAUGCUAUUAUGGUUAUCAAAGCUAAAAAUUCACGGGAAAGAAAAAAAAAAUUUUUUUUUUUAGCUGGAUGAUUAGAUUACAUUUUCUCGUAAUUAAGAAAGCAUAAAUUAAGUAAUAAUUAAGGGUUUAUUAAACACUUAAUUUCAUACCACUAAAUAUGAGAGUUAUAACAGUGAGAGAAGUUAGGUAAUAAUUAAGAGCUUAUAACCGAAAACUUUUACUAUAGAUAAAAGACUUAUGUGUUCUAUAAGACUAUAACUAACCACAAACUCAUCACAUAUGAAUAACACUAUUGUGCAAUAGACAUUACAAUUGUGUGACAAAUGACCAUGAAUAACACUAUUAUGCGAUAGGGAUUAUAAUUGCGUGAUAAAUGAUUCUUGAUAAAUUUAAACAACUAAUAGAUAUUAAAAUUUAAAAUUUUUAUUUUUAAGUAUUUCCAAUAUCUCAAUGUUAUUCUCACACAUUUAAUUAAAACUAAAUAAAUUUUAAGAACGUAGAAGAACAUAUCUCACUUACGAGUUUAGAUAGGCCUAAAACCAAACUUUAGAAAACACAUUUUUAUGUUAAUUUCUUUCAUAAAUUUUGCGUUUGACAAGAUAAAAAUAUAUAACAGAUAACCAAACCAAAACUUUUCACGAAAUAAAUAAUUAAUUAGUUAAUCCAAAAGUACUUUGGUUAAUGUGUAGAAUGGGUUGAAUAAAGUAAUUUUUAUUUUUGAACAAAAUUUAGUCCAUUCUAAUUUCACUCCUCAAUGGAAGUUCUUUCCACCUUUCGGCUAAUGGACUCUCGCAAUUUAGCGUUAUUAUUAUUAUUACUAUUAUUAUUAGUUAUAAUUUUAAAAUUUAUUGGGAAUUUUGCGGAAGAGUAUGGCGAUUUGAACCCAAAAUUUUGCUUUCUACACCCAUUUUCUCAACACACCCACAACAUAAAUUUGAAAAAUAAAAUUAUACUCUAUGAAUCCUUCAUAAAUCCAAAAAUAACCUUAUAUUAUCUUCACUUUUUUCUUCCCUCCCCCUUCUUAUACAGUAUUGAAUGGUGACAGCAACUUUGAUUCACCUUGCUAAUAUUAAAAACUAUCCUAAUUGACAAAUCCAUGAAGAAAUAAACUUUGAUGACGUGCACCAAUAAAUUGAAAAUUUUGAGCCAACAACAAAAUACUGAAUAUAUUACGGAUGGCUUUACAUUGAAAUUGUCCAUUUCUUUUUCAUCCAUUGCCUUUCACGAAAAUCUUUAUAAUUUCAUAUUAUAACUGCAAGAUGCAAAAAAUUCUUCAUGUUUUUUCAUCUAUCGCCAUAAUUGCCAUAGAGUUCAUUAGCUUAAUUAACUAUUAGUUAUACAUAUCAAGGAGUCUAUUUUUCCUUUUAAGUCUUGAAUCAUCAAAUUCAAAUAUUUCUAUUGUUCGAUUUUUCUAUCUGAUUGUGUAUUUUCAUGAGAUGCAGAAAAUUAUUUUUAGCUUAUGCAGAAUUUUCAUUUUCUCAGCAACUAAGUUUUUUUUUUUUUUUUUUUUGGUCUGUCCUUAAUGGUAAUUGUCAUAAAGGGUAAUUUGACAAUAAAAGUUUUUGUGAAAUUAUGGGUGUAAAGAGUUGUUUUGUGGGUUUAAAUAGUCCCACCCUUUGCGGAAUUAUAUAUUAAACAUCUAAAUUAAUCGUAUGUAUGAAAUAAAUGGCAUCCAACACAAAUAUAAAUAAUGGCAUCCCACACAAAUAUAAAUAAUAAUUUUACUUGAAUUAAACACCCAAAUCCUAUAUUAUAAUAUUAUGCGUAAGGAAAUUUACGCACACUAUCAUUUUAUUAAAAUUUGGACUAGCUGAAGAAUAUUAUUCAUUCAGAUUUAUCAACCAUAAGUCACUUUGUUAAACCAUGAUUAUUGUAGAAUGAAAAAUCAUUCUUGUCAAGUAUAAAUGGACGAACUGUUUAUUGUCAACCUUUAUAUAGUUGUAUAAAUAAUUAAUCUUUGUAUAACUUAAAAUUAUUGUUUAUUCUAUCAGUCUUAAUGAAUUGGAAGUAGAUGAUUUUAAUUUGCAAAUGGUUUGGCUUCCAUCUUUGUAACUAUUUUACUAUUUAAAAAAAAAAAAGCUCACUAAACAAAUAAAGUUGACCAAAGUAUUCUCAAAAUGCCGACUGCUUUAGUUAACAAAGCUCAAAAACUUUUAAGAAGAAUUGGGCCUGAAGUAAAUCCUUGAUUAUAGGCAAACUGUUAACCUUCAAAAACCAUUUAAAUUGCCUUUCUUAACCCAAAAGUAUCCUAAUCCAAUGUUUGCCAAAUGAUCUCGAACCAAGUCAAAUUAUCCAACUCAUAACUAAAUAGAGGAGAGAAUAUUUUAACGAGGUCAAAUAGUUUCACUUUAUUAAUAAUUUAGUAGAAACCUAAUGAAAGUGAGGGUAUUGGAGUCUCUGGCUUUCUUUGCAUUUGAGAGUAUUUUUAUUUAUUUAUUUAUUGUUUUAGAUUUCUGUGCUGUAUUUAUCUUCUUUUUUUUCAAAAAAAAAAAUCCUCUAAAACAUUUUACAAAUUCCAUGCGAAUUAUGGAAGAACUUCGGCAUUCUUUAUUUUCUAUAUAUGCGGAUACAAGUAACAUGGAGAGAGGUUCACAAAAACCUCUUUGAUUAUUGUUAUUAUUAUUACAUAUAUAUAUAUAUAUAUUUAGCUCCGAACUUUGCAUGAAGAGCCUUCACUACAUAUGGAUAUGGAUCAAGUUGGAAUGCCCUGGCAAGAGAAAAAAGGAUCAGUUAGUGGAUCGGAUCUAAAGACUGCAUUGGAAUAAUUUUCAAAGUAAAUGAUGUAUUAUUAUAAAGACAUGUCUAAUUAAUUAUGCUUUAUAGAAGAGCUAGCUUUUCACCUAAGGACACAUCCAUUAAUGGUGGCACUUCAUUUGGAAUGGUGAUGGUUUAAUUUGAACUGUUGAUUAAGAUCAAAUCUUGAUCCAAUGGCCAUAAAUAAAAUGUUAUCAUGAAAGGUGACUACCUAAAUGGAAGGGCACAAGUACAUCUAUAAAUAUAGGCCAUGUUUAGGUCAUUUAAACAUGAAAUUAAUGAUCAUAUACCAAUCUGUUCUUAGCCCUCUUUCCUAAAACGAAUUUUAUCAUAUAACAUCUAUUUUUACGCAUCAAAUGUUUAAUAUAUUGUUUACUGCAGGAACAUUAUAUUGAUUCUUGAUAGUCUUGCAACAUUCAAAAGUUUUCAGAUUUGCUUUUGUCAAUGCACAAUGCAAACAAACAAAUAACGCUUCAUUAUAUCCUAGACGCGUGUUUGCUUAAUCCAUGUAUAUCACUCACUCAAUUGGUGGGGCAAAUAACAUCUUAAGAAAAACAACAUUUAUAAUGUGCAUUGAAGUACAAAUUUUUUUUUCUGCAAUUUUACAUGUUACUAUUAUUUUCUUUGCACCUAUAAAGUUGUACACACAUUACUUUAUUAUAAUAAAAUCUACCAUUAUUACUGCAAUUCUCUACAUUUGCCAUUUCACACAAAUAUAUACUGCAACAAUCUUAAGACGCCAUUUGUUCAGCAAUGGCACCAAGUUUAUCUCUUCGACAAUUUGCAAUUCAUUUUGUCAAAUAAGAGCGAUUCGACGGUGGCAACUUUGCACAUCAAUAGAAAAAUUUGCAUUUCUUGUUGACAAGCCUUAAUGUGGUUUAUGUUCUCACAAUACCAAAGCCUCAAGAAUGUGAGGAUGAGAUAUUAGCAGAAGCUAGAGCACGAUAGAAGUAGGAGCAAGAUGACUACAUAUGCAAGGGACAAAUUUGCAACGCCAUAUCUAAUAUUGUAUCACAACAAACCCACAAUAAAAGAAAUAUGCGACUUAUUGGAGAUUAAGUACAUGAUGGAAGAUGCCACAAGUAUGAAAUCCUUGGCUUCUAAAUUUUUUAAUUAUAAAAUGGUUGAUAAUGGACUUGUGGUUGAAUAAUAUAUUGAGAUUUUGCAUAUUCUUUAUCAAUUCAACCAAGACAACAUGAAGAUGGACGAGCCUUUUAUUGUUUCUUCAAUUAUUGAUAAACUCCCUCCCUAUUAGUAAGACAUUUAAAAGUCUUAAACAUAAUAAAGAGAAAAUUAGCCUGAAAGGUUUAAGCUAAAGUUUUUGUAUUGAAAAUGAACUCAAACUAUAUAAUCUUGAGGAAUAAGCUGCUACGUCCUCUAAAAUUAAUGUUGUGGAGGAGGGGAAGAAGCUUAAGCAUUCUAAUUACCCUAAGAAUAACCAAAAGAGAAAGUUUGAUUCUAAAGAGAAUCAAAAUAAUAAGAAGAAAAAAAAAGGUACAUGUCAUUACUGUAAAAAGCUUGGCCACUUCAAAAAAUAUUAUCAACUUCUUAAGAAACAAAAAGAAGUUUCGAACACAAUUUUGCGGCCAUGAUAUUGAGAUUCAUGUUCUUGAAGAUGAUAAUGCAUGGUGGAUAGAUUCUAAUGCAACCAAGCAUGUGUGCAAAGAUCAUAGCCUUUUCACAUCUUACAAAGUAAUGGAUGAUAGGAAUGUUCUUUACGUUCGGAAAUUCCUUCAUGCAGCAAUUAAAAAAAAAGGCAAUGUACAACUAGAGUAUAUUUAUGGAAAAAUCUUAACUCUUACUGAUGUUUAUCAUAUACCUAAAGUUAAGAAGAAUCUUGCAUUUGGUUGCCUCAAUAAAUUUGGCUUCAAACAUGUAUUUGAGUAAAAAAUAAUUUAUAUUGUCUAAGGAUUGUACCUUUGUUGGGAAAGGAUACAUGUAUGAGGGAAAGUUUAAACUCAUUAAUAAAAUGAAUGUUUCUUCUACUUACAUGAUUGACUCAUUAUUUUUGUGGCAUAAUUGUUUAGGACAUGUGAAUAUUAGAAGAUUGCAUGAUAUAGCUAAUUUAGAAUUAAUUCCUAAACAUGAAAAUGAUAUGCAUGAAAAAUGUAAAGUGCGUGCAUAGACUAAAAUCACAAGAACUCCUUUUCUAACAAUUGAAAAAACAUAUUCUUUGACGCAUUUAAUUCAUAGUGAUAUAUGUGACAUGCAUAGUAAUCCUACUAAAGGUGAUAAAAAAUAUUUUGUAAUGUUUAUUGAUGAUUUUUCAAAAAUAUUGCCUAUAUUUAUUACCUUCUAAAGAUCAAGUGUUAGCCAAAUCUAAAAUUUAUAAAAAUUAAGUUGAGAAUUUUUAUGACAUUAAAAUUAAAUGCAUCAGAAGUGAUAAAGGAGAUGAAUAUGCAUUUUCUGAAUUUUGUGAAUCUAUUGGCAUUGUGCAUGAAACUAGUAUUGGAUAUACACGACAACAAAAUGACAUAUCUAAAAGGAAGAAUAGGACGCUAAUAGAAAUGGUUAAUGUUAUGAUUUUUAAUGUUGGGCUUGGUAAAGAUUUUUGCAAUGAAGCUCUUUUAACUGAAUGUCAUAUCUUGAAUAGUGUGCCUAAUUAGAAAACAAAAGCGAUCCCUUAUGAAUUGUGGAAAAAUAGAAAGCCUAAUCUUUCACUACUACAAAAUUAGUCAAUAAUGACGGUUCUAAACGACAUAAAAUGACGGUUUUAAAACCGUCAUCUUAGGCAACGACAUUAAAAGGAGUAUACUUUUUAUGACAGUUCAAUAACCGUCAUUAAAUGUAUAUUUUUAAUGACGGUUAUUUUCUAAAACAGUCAUUAUUUAUAGUAACUAUGUAUGUUUUCAUGAUGGUUAUUUCGUAUAUCCGUCAUUAAAUAUAUACAUUUAAUGACGGUUAUAUGAAAUAAUCAUUAUUAAAUAUACUUUUUCAUUAAUUUUUUAUGACGGUUCUUUUAAAAAAAACCAUCAUUAAAUCCAUCAUUUUAAUGACAGUUUAUUGUAAAAACGUCAUUAAAUAUUAAAAUAACAUUUAAUGAUGGUUUAAAAAAAGAACUGUCAUCUUUGUUGUUGAAGACUACAUUUAACGACGGUUCUUUUCAAAUAACCGUUAUCAUUGUUGUUAAUUAUUAAAAAAAAAAAUGACAAUUUCAGAACCAUUUGAAGCCCCUAUUUUAAUUCUAAUUUCCUGUUAAAUUAUUUACAAUUUUUUUCCACAAAUGUUUCAUAUACAAAAAGAUAGCUCUACAAAAAUCUCUAAUAGUCAUUGAAUUUCAACAAAAUAUCAAUUAGCUUUAACAUCAAAAUUCUCACAACUCUUUAAUACCUACUAAUGAAUCUACUCACAACCAACAAAAUUGGCAUGUGUGAGUACAUCUAAUUUCUCAUCAAGUUUUCAAUUGCAAACGAAUCUCACCACCUUUAGCAAUCUACAUCAUUCUUACAAAGAAUAAAUCAAAAUUAAGAUAAAUUCAUAGAUUAUAAGUCAUAAUAAUUAAAUCAUUUUUAGUGACUUAAGUUGCAAACAAAACUUUAAAGUACCAAAUCAUUAUUAAUUAAUAGACUUACAUUAAAUUUAUCAACCAUGUGUUUAUGUAGUAACAAGUUGCUAUGUAUACAUGUAGGCCACUCGCAUUUAACUUUAUCAAUUUCUCCUUGAGUGUAAAUUUCAAUUCUGUAAAAAUAAAAAUUAAGAAGUAUAUUACUCUAGUUCCAAACUACAAAAAUAAGUAUUUGAUAAUAAACGACAUACAUUUUCCAAAAUAGAGAAAAUCACAAAGCUUUUAAGCUUCUAAAUCACAAAUUAUAGGUAAAGCAAUUUAGAAUUGAAAUAUACUAUAGCAAUGAUGACUUACAUCCGCUAUUUGCAUAGACUAUCACUCAAAUCUAGUGAUUCGAUAUUCUCAAUUGAUGAAAAUAUGCAACAUGUCUAAAAUAAAUCUUGCAUGCUAACACAAUAAUAAAUAUUGAAAAAAGAAUUUGUACCUUUGCCCCUGGUCAAUUUGAUAAUGAUCUCAAAAAUUUUGAUGGCCAUGAGAAAAUUAACUAACGACCAACGCUUUAUUAUUGAUGUUGUCGGAGGAUUACCAAAUUGAGAAGGAAAUGCUAAAUUCUUGAAUGGCGUUGAGAACUUAAAAAUCUGAAAUGGAACAUUUAAAAUAGAAAGUAAAUAUAAUUAUCAAUACUCAAAGAUAGUCCACGCUUUAUUGCUUAAAAACUUGAGUGGAAAACCCAGCAAAAAAGAAAAGCAAAAACAGUGCAAUUUCACUGGUAUUUUUGCUGCUGUCAUGCAGUAAAAACAUAGUAGUCUUACUGCAAAGUUUUUGCAGCUGUUUUGACUGUAUAACAGCGGGCAAAAACAGCAAAAGAAACUACAAUUUGGCUGCUGUUUUUACUGUUGUCAUGCAGUAAAAUAGAGCAGUCUUGCUGCAAAGAUUUUGCAGCUGUUUUGACUGUACAACAACAGCAAAAAGAACUAUAAUUUGGCUGCUGUUUUUACCGCUGUCAUGCGGUAAAGCAGAGCUGCUGUUUUGACUGUAUAACAGCAGGUAAAACAGAAAAAAAAACUGUAAUUUGGCUGCAGUAAAAACAACAGAAAAACUAUAAUUUGGCUGCUGUUUUUACUGUUAUCAUGCAGCGAAAAUACAGCAGUCUCACUGCAAAAAUUUUACUGCUGUUCUUACUGUAUAAAAAUAGCAAUACAUCACCUUAAAUAAGAGAAAAAAAUUCUUUCAGCUACUACACAUUUAAUUUAAUUUAACUUAAAUCCUUCAUAUUGUAGAGAGUGAGAGAUUGAUUCUAUAGAAUAAAGAGAAAUUAAGAUAAUUCAUAUAUUAUAAGCCAGUAUCUUCACCAUGACUGGCAACUUCCACAAGCAAUUCAUUUGCUCUUUUCCAUGAGGACUCAUCAGAACUGAAUAAGCAAACAACACCAUUAUAAAAGAAUGAAUAUAUGUCUGAUAUGAAAUGAGCAAAACCUAGGUUAUGAGCAGCACAUAAAUGCAAAAAGAAAAAGGGAAUGUCUUUCUCUGUAAAUACAUGUAGAUAGAUGUUUGCAGAUGCAUGCAAGGGAAAAAAGAAUGUCUUUCUACAUUCUCAAGGCUCCAAUUGAAGCACUAACAGGUACAUUUAUGCAAAAAUAUAAGAAGAAAAAUAAUGUAUGAUACCUGUAGUCCCUGAGGAGUAAGCAAAUGUAUUUCGAUACGUGUACAUUUCCUGAAAGAAGAUUGAACUAUAAAUAGACUGCCAAUGGAUCAAAAUGCACUUUCAACACAAAAUCCAAUUAAAUUUGAAGAUGGCGCAAAACAAUUAGUUGAAAAUUGUACUCGUGACACCGGAAUGAAUCGCAUAACAAUUCUUUCACAGAGCUUUCAGCAACCAUAUAGCUCAAAAAUCAGAUAGCAGCAUACACUAAAUGGGAACAAUUUUUUUUAUCAAUUACAUUAGUAUAAGUCCAAUGCAGGGAAAAAAAUGCACUUUCAAAAUGAAUUACAACUUAAUAACAACAACAAUCAACUAAAAAGUAAGCAAGAAUCAUAGACAAACAAUUUAUAAACCAAAUGAGAUGAAAAUUUCUUUAUUAAAUUAAUAGAAGGUCAGUUGACAGGAAAUAAAGAGAACAAACAAUAAUUAGAUGAAUCAAAACCCUAGAGCAAGAAAAUACAAUAAGAAGGAAGCAUCUGAAACAAGAAAAUGAAAUCAACAGCUCACUGUCUCCCGCGGCCGGCGCGAUGGCUACGGUUGAACGAGCUACAAUGACAACUGCUGUCGAUGAGGUAGCUGAAUCACGAUCAUUGCCGCGAACUAGCUAGGACUCUGAAUCACGACCACGAUCUGCCCUACGAGCUAAUAAAAAAAAUUGAAUCGAUUGGCAGCAGUGGAUGGUGCGUGACUGAUGGGCUGACGAUAGUGAAAUUGACAGAGUGAGACGAUGAGACUGGAGAGGGAGAUGGUGAGACCGUGAGAAAGAGAGAGGGAGACCAACGAUGCAGAGAGUGAAAGUGAGCAUGAAAGAGAGAGAGACCGGAGAUGGAGAGAAUGAGAGUGAGCGUAAGAGACAGACAGACCGAAGAUGGAGAGGAGAGUAAGCGGGUGAGAGAGGGGGGCGUGGCUGCUGCUGUGCUUGUAGAAUUAGAAAGGGGGAUUGCCACUUUCCCCCAACAUAAAUUAACAUAUAUCAUUUAUUCUUCUAUUAUUUUUAUAAUGGUUAAAAAUUAUUAUAAUAGAAUAAAUUUAUAAUAUUACUUUUAUUUUUAAUUACUCUUUUAUUUAUAUUUAUUAUAAAUUAAAUAGAUUACAUGAAUAGAAACUAAAUAAAAAAUUAAGAAUUAAAAACAAGAAAUAUAUGUUUUGAUAUGAGCAAAAAAAUUAAUAAUAACUUUUUUUUUAUAAUUAUUUAUUUUGUGAAUAUUUUCUUAUAAUAAAUAUUUUGUAAUAUUUUAAAAUUAAAUGUAAAAAGUAUAGGUAAAAUAUUUUAUUAUUUAUCUUAUAAUAAAUUUUUAUUUGUCAUUCAAAUUUUAUUAUAAUAAUUUUUUUAUCAUUUUAUAAUAACUUUCUUAUAUAUUUAUUAUAAAAAAAAUUUCACAAAAUAAAUAAGUACAAGAAAAAAAUUUUAUUAUUAAUUUUUUUCUUAUAUCAAAACAUAUAUUUCUUUUUUUUAAUGCUUAAUUUUUUAUUUAGUUUCUAUUAAUAUGAUUUAUUUAAUUUAUAAUAAAUAUAAAUAAAAGAGUGGUUGAAAAUAAGGGUAAUAUUAUAAACUUAUAUUGUCAUGGAGGUUUUUGGCUAUUAUAAAAACAACAUGGGUGAAAAUGGUAUAUGUUCAUUACUGUAGGGGAGAAAUUGGCAAUCUCCCAAUUAGAAAUUAGGUCAUGAUUUUUUUUUAGCCGAUUAAGAUUUUUUAUAUAAAUGUUUUACAUAUAAUGACGGUUACAUCCAAAACCGUCAUUGUUAUUUUUUACUUAAAUGGCGGUUCUUUACAACCGUCAUUAAUACUUUAAUAAGACAUAUAAUGUCAGAUUUUUAUAUAUAAUCGUAGUUAAAAAUCAGGUUAUAUUUUAUUUUGAUGUUUAAUGACAGUUAUAUAAUAGAACCGUUAUUAUAAAUAUUAUAUUUUUAAUGACAGUUUUUACACAAAAUCGUCAUUAAAAGUAACUAAAAGUAAAACUAUAUUUUAACUUGACACUUAAUGAUUGUUAUAUAAUUUAACCGUCGUUGUAAAUAUUACACAUUAAUGACUAUUUUUAUACAGAAUUGUCAUUAAAAGUAAUUUUACCUAGACAUUUAAUAAUUGUUAUAUAAUAAAAUGGUCAUUGUAAAUAUUAGAUAUUAUGACGGUUCAUAUAAUAACGGUUAUCAAAUACUUUUAAUGACGGUUGUAAAGAAAAACCGUCAUAAUAUAUGGGCAUUGUUUUGCAUUUUUGUAUUCGUGUUUUUACCCAAGGGUUUGGGGUUAAUUCACUAUAAGAAAACAAGUAAUAGAUGACAGACAUUUUGUGACAGAUUCGUAAAAAAUUUAUUUAUAUUAUAAAAAUAUGAUAGACUCGUGAUAUAAUUUCAGUUCUGGAUUAAUGAUGAUUUUAUGAUAAAAUUAUUGUCUAUCAAGAAUUCAUUUAUACAAAUUUAUUCCAUCAAGAAAUUAUGGUAAUUUCAAUAUAAUUUGUGCUGCUACUUAAUUAUUCAUUUUUUUUCCCACUUUGUGUCUGUAUGUGUGUGUGUUCUUGUAGUGUUUGUGAACGGGAAGUUCUGCAAGGACCCCAAGCUUGCGAGAGCUGAAGAUUUCUUCUUCUCAGGGCUAGACAAGCCUGGCAACACAGCAAAUCGACUUGGUGUUGAUGAAACAGAUGCAAAUGUUGAGCAGAUUCCAGGACUCAACACCCUUGGCAUAUCAGCAUUCCGCGUUGACUAUGCGCCAUACGGCCAAAGGCCACCUCACAUUCACCCCCGGGCCAGUGAAAUCCUGCUGGUCCUGGAAGGAACUCUUCAUGUCGGUUUUGUGACAUCAGACCAGCUAAAUAACAAACUCAUCGCAAAAGUUCUGAAUAAGGGAGAUGUUUUUGUGUUUCCAAAAGGUUUGAUUUACUUCCAAUUUAACAUUGGAAAAACAAAAGCAGUUGCCUAUUCUGCUCUAAACAGCCAGUUCCCCGGUGAAAUUACCAUAGCCGACACGGUCUUUGGAACUUUUGCGAUGAGUUUGUUAUUUAGCUGGUCUGAUGUCACAAAACCGACAUGAAGAGUUCCUUCCAGGACCAGCAGGAUUUCACUGGCAUGGGGGUGAAUGUGAGGUGGCCUUUGGCCGUAUGGCGCAUAGUCAAUGCGGAAUGCUGAUAUGCCAAGGGUGUUGAGUCCUGGAAUCUGCUCAACAUUUGCAUCUGUUUCAUCAACACCAAGUCGAUUUGCUGUGUUGCCAGGCUUGUCUAGCCCUGAGAAGAAGAAAUCUUCAGCUCUCGCAAGCUUGGGGUCCUUGCAGAACUUCCCGUUCACAAACACU